CAGAAAAUAGUUCAAUAUGAGAACACCGGCCUUGGGAGCCCGAAGUGGAAGUUUAAGUCUUUCUUUUCUGA
rnacentral:tRNA from 1 species